GUUAGGGUCAGCCUAGGGCCUAGGCUAUUGGAGUUGGGGUUAGGGUCAGCCUAGGCUGGGGUUAGGGUUAGGGUCAGCCUAGGGCCUAGGCUAUUGGGGUUGGGGUUAGGGUCAGCCUAGGCUGGGAUUAGUAUAAGGGUUAGUCUAGGCUGGGGUUAGGGUCAAACUAGGCUGGGGUUAGUGUUAUGGUUAGGGUUAGCCUAGGCUGGGGUCAGACUAGGCUGGGGUUAGGGUCAGACUAGGCUGGGGUUAGGGUUAGUCUAGGCUGGGGUUAGGGUCAGACUAGGCUGGGAUUAAUAGUAGGUUUAGCCUAGGCUGGGGUUAGUGUUAGGGUUAGCCUAGGCUGGGGUCAGACUAGGCUGUGGUCAGAUUAGGCUGGGGUAACUGUCAGCCUGGGUUGGGGUUAGUGUUAUGAUUCAGUCUAGGCUGGGGUCAAACUAGGCUGGGGUUAUGGUCAGACUAGGCUGGGGUUAGUGUUAGGGUUCAGUCUAGGCUGGGGUCAGACAAGGCUGGGGUUAGUGUUAGGGUUCAGUCUAGGCUGGGGUCAGACUAGGCUGGGGUUUAUUUCAGCCUUAUCUGGGGUUAGAGUCAGCCUAGACAGGGGAUACUGUUAGGGUUAGCCUAAACUGGCAUUAGGGUUAGUGUCAGCCUACGCUGGGG
rnacentral:lncRNA from 1 species